GUAAGAUUUUGUUUUAAAUUUUAUUUACUUCAGGCUAGGCGACAAGCUUUGCAAGAAGAGAUUGACAAAUUAUCUGGCAAAACUGGUACUUCUGAAAGUGAAGCUUCUCCAGAAACGAAACCAAGAUGUACUGGCACACAAUGGGACACAGCCACUUUUGAAAGUACAGAGCAGAAAAACAAGUUCUUGAGACUAAUGGGUGGAUUUAAGUCAUCAAAUCAGCCUCCAUCGUCUGGAAGCACUGGAAAGCAAAACAUGGUACUUAAUAAGGAAGAGGAACAAAACUUUAACAGGACUCUGCAGAAAGAAUUUGACAAAGCAUUGAACCUUCGGCAGCAUCGAGGAAUUGGCUUGGGUUUCCAGCCUUUUUCAAAUCCGGUUAACAAAACAUUUUUUAUAGACAAGUAUGCCUCAAAAUCAACGAAGUUCGAUUUCAAUUAGAUAAACUGAUCUUGGCACAGGAUUUACUUGAAGUAAUGCAAUGCUGUAUGGUAACAUUUUAAAGAGAGUCCAUAGGAGGUUUACAAGAAUAUCCUGGGGAUGAAGACUCAUCAUGUGAGGGACUCUGGGUCUGUAGUCCGAUGGAGUUAAGAAGGAAGAGAGACAACAAUUGCAAGAUGGCGAUGGCGAAGUAGGCUAAAAACAGUUUAUUUUUUUUCCUUUGUAUUUACCUUCCUGAGAGAGCUCGGUCGUGAAGGCAGGGGCGCCCACUGCAUCACGGCUCAUUACACAAUGGAGCACGGCAGCAGCCGAGGGCCUGGAUCGGAACAUUGACAGUCCGAGAUCAAGCCCAACCAAUGUGGCUGUGAAGGAAAUCCCCCAGCAUCUGUGGCAGCAAGAGCAGGCAGCCCAAGGAGUCACACAGAGUGGGCAAAAGCGGAGGCGAUUGAGCCCUUGUAGGGAGUGCAAGCCCUGCAGGGUUAAGGAUUUAAAGACUGUUAACACUUUCAAAAACCAAAAGAACUGCAGAUGCUGUAAAUCCGAGACAAAAAUGGAAACUACUGGGAAAGGUCAGCAGGUCUGGCAACAUCUGUGGAGAGAAUCAGAGUUAAAUGCUUCAGGUUCUUGAGGAAGGCUCACUUGACCCAAAACGUUAACUCCGAUUUCUCUCCACAGACGCUGCCAGGCCUGGUGAGCUUUUCCAGCAGUUUCUAUUUCUAUUUCUUUAUUUUUCUACUCGGUACCCAAAAUUUUGUGCCUAGAUGCCUUUGUAAUUAAGAUGGUACCAGGAAUGGCAACAUUGAUAUACUUUUCACUGCACUCAAAUGCUCCUGUGCUGAAUUACAGCUGAAAAUAAAAUCUAAUUCUAAUUCUAAUCAAUGCAAAGUUCCUCGGAGAAAAGGCAAUCAAUUACAUUGCAGCACUGUCACUUGCACAACUCUCUGACCUUUCUUACUGCCUGAUCCUGUGUGCUCCUGGUUUCUGGAAAAAGAAGACGACAAAAUAUAACAUCAUCGUUCCACCAGUCAUUUUUUCCACAUUCAUUGCACCCAUCUCUCAUUCUUGUCCCUCUAAUCUCUUCAGCAUGUACGUAAAUGGCUCUGGCUUUUGUUUUUACUUUUGUCAAUUGCAAUUUCUGAACACCAAGAAGUAAUAAGCUGAUGACAGGAACCCAGAUUUUGCUCAGGGAGGUGCUUUUUGAUUAUGAAUUUGGAACUUGUCACUGCAAUAAAAUUUGGAACAUUUUAAA